CAUGAGGGUUCAAUCUUUGGCUUUCUUAUGAUUUAACAAAAUAAAGCCUUAUCUAUACUUAAAUAUUUAUUGCUACUGUAAUAUUCGUUGUUGACUCUUUUAUUGCCUGAGGCGACCGAGCGGAGACAGCAUCUCUAAUCAAUGAAAUGCAGGCUUCGAAGGACAAACUAGGUGCGCAAAAGUUUCUGGUCACACUUUGAAGUGUGACAAGCCUGCUUUGCGCGGUUGCAAUCAUAAGUGCGCAUGCGCCAGCUCGCAUGAGAAACAAGAUCAAGAUGGCGGUCAUUAAUCAACGGCAAUAUUGGCAGUUUUAUUGGAAGGGAAAGCAUCUUCAACUAUAACGAAGCUUCUUAAGGCAUUAAAGAUGUGACACCCUUAAUGGGGAGUUUUCAAUUAAAAGAACAAGAGGAGCUAUUAAAGAAAUGAACUGCUUAUGGAAAUGUUGGGAACAGAGUAUACAUUAAAAAAGACAGGCCAGGGAUCGGACUGGAUGAUCCCAGCUGUUUAUGAUGCAUUUGAAGCAUAUCGAACCACUGAUACACAACAUGGUCAUCACAAAGUGAAAAUUCUGUUUUGUGACAAACUGAACACGAACAACUGAACAUUGUUGUUUUUGGUAAAUUUGAUACCCUCCAACAUUGUGCAUACAAAGACACAAAUUCCAAAUCAAAUGGAGAUGGCUAAUUGAGCAUGCAGUAUCUGAUGAUGUUGCCCAGCAUUGCAUAGAAAAAGCCACAAAUACUACAUGGAUAGCUAACAGUACCAGAACUGUAACAAAUUCUACAUGGAUAGCUAACAGUACCAGAACUGUAACAAAUACUACAUGGAUAGCUAACAGUACCAGAACUGUAACAAAUACUACAUGGAUAGCUAACAGUACCAGAACUGUAAUAGCACUGUUUUAUUUUGAUGCUGCCAGACUUCAGUACAGUUAAUACUUCUGUUGCAUACAAUAAGCCACAAAUACUACAUGAUCUAACAGUACCAGAACUGUAAUAGCACUGUUUUAUUUUGAUGCUGCCAGACUUCAGUACAGUUAAUACUUCUGUUGCAUACAAUAAGCCACAAAUACUACAUGAUCUAACAGUAUCAGAACUGUAAUAGCACUGUUUUAUUUUGAUGCUGCCAGACUUCAGUACAGUUAAUACUUCUGUUGCAUACAAUAAGCCACAAAUACUACAUGAUCUAACAGUAGCAGAACUGUAAUAGCACUGUUUUAUUUUGAUGCUGCCAGACUUCAGUACAGUUAAUACUUCUGUUGCAUACAAUAAGCCACAAAUACUACAUGAUCUAACAGUAGCAGAACUGUAAUAGCACUGUUUUAUUUUGAUGCUGCCAGACUUCAGUACAGUUAAUACUUCUGUUUCAAGAUAGAUUAUAUCAACUGCAACUGCAUUCAACAAAAUUGAAGAAAAGCAAAGCCCUUUUCACAAAAUCUUAAGUAAAGAGUAAUUAAAUAGUAAAAAGAUAAAAUAAAAUAAAAUUGCUAUAUGAUAAAACUACAGUAUAAUUACUCUUUAUUCGUAAAUAAGUUCACGUAUCUCACACUAUGCAGUGCAGCUGCCUAGUUUUUGUUGUUAUUGUUUAUUUUUUCCGGUGCUUCAUGUAGUGAAAAUCAUUCUCCUGAUGACCAGUUUCUAACGCUCGAUUCUUGAGUGACAUUAAUGAAACUUGGAAGAGAAGGGAACCUUGCUGAAAAUAUAUUUGAUACACACAUGCACGUUUGAUGGAACAAUAACUGACAAACAUUUUUUUUUCCAAGGAAGAAUUAAUCCCUCUAUGUAGCUAUUGCUCGAUAUCAAACCGUUUCUAUUUUCAACUUUUAUGGGUUAACAAGAAAAUUAUUGAAUAGAAUUACAAGACACAAGGAGAAUACAUAAAGUUUAACUUGAAAAUAGAGAAGUGACCAUAAAAAUUCAGCUUGAAAUCGGGUCUACUCAUCACUGACCUGUAGUGACAAAUAUUACAACGAUAGCACUCGUACGUAUAUGUAUGUACAUAUUUUAAAUUAGCAAGGUUGCAGGUGAAUCCAUUUUUCAUUAUCCAUAAAGGUUAAUGGGUAUCAAAUGAAUGACCAAAUUCCGAAAGCCAUGUGAGUGUUCUGAAACACUUAUAACAAGAAUUUACUGUUUUCAAAGCCUGGAUUUUGUAUUUUGAAUUUGAUGUUAUAGUAUCUCGGAAAAACAAUGAAAGGAUUUUUAUUCAAUGAUUCAACGACUUGCCAGUUUUGCAAAAGAAAGAAACACAUGUGAGGCAUAGAGAAUACAACUCAUUCCAUUACAAAUGGGAAGACAGGAAUUCCAAUUUUUCUAUGUGAAGCCAUGCACACAACUUCAAGGAACACUUCAGGAUGUCAGUGAAAUCAACAUAAAAUUUACACUUUAGUUUUAGAGGCCGUUAAAAGGGGGGCAUGGUGUGAUGAACGUGGAGGAGGAGGCUGAAAAACUUUUCUUGGUGAAAAAAGUGGGCCUUGAAUUAAAA